rnacentral:lncRNA from 1 species
UAGAUAGUCUCAACCGAGCAGUGAUGGAAAGAUGGAUCUGGGGACGACAGAGCUCACAGGCAGAGGACAAAAUAAGCAGCCAAGUAACAGCCGUUCAGCACAACGCGUUUUAGGCAAGGAUCCCCACUCCCACACCCCCAGCACACAGUGAUGGAUCUGGGAAAGCAGGAAGGGCCCAGAGUGGCUGCAGAGACUGCAGGCUGUGCAGUGGAGGGGAGAGGGGAGACUUGCAGGGUCUGCCAAGCUGAAUGCGGGCAGGGAAGGAGGAGGCCUGGUGGCUGGCUGAGAAGCUCCACGUGCUGAACAGAGAAUACGGGCACACCAUAGGCUUACGGCCCCGGCAACAGAGAUACAGAAGCAAGCAUGGGCAGAGUGUGCUGUGCAGAAGCAAGAGGCUCAGCAGAAGCGCUAAGAACAAGUUAAACAUAACUACCCUCAAAAACCGGACCCAAGUGCCACUUCUUUCUCGGAAGCUCCUCUGACCAUGCCCAUCUGAGCAAUCUCUUGGCCACACCCCGACUGCAGGACUUCUGUCACCCAGCUUUGCACUGGUGCACAUCUUGGAACCUGUAUCUGCUACUUAGCCUGUGAGGCUCUGGAAUAAAGAGAUGCAUAAAGAAGGUCCCUAUCAUUACCAGGUUUCCUGUAGCCAUAACACCUCAGUGUGUGCUAUGCACCUUACAGUGAGAAGGGAGCUAGCUGGACGCUCUGCAGAAGAGGCUCUAUCUAAUGGGCACCGUGGAGGACGUUAAUCAGGGAAAGAAGGGAGGGAAGGAGAACAUGUGAGUGAGAGCAUGGAGAUAUUCAUUCUCUCUCUCUCUCUCUCUCUCUCUCUCUCUCUCUCUCUCUCUCUCUCCCUCUCCCUCUCCCUCCCUCUCUCUCUCUCUCUGGAGGACAGAAAGCUAGAGAAGGAAGGGCGUUUAAGACUGAAUAACAUGCAACCUGUGUGUAUCCAGGCCUUAUAUAUAAAGCAAAGCGUACGUGGGGUCCCUGGCAUUCUGCUUGAGCUUCAACUUUCCACUUUGCGAUUUAUCUCUGUAUGGAGCUCACGGUGCAUACAGUACCGUGUACCUGGGGCUUUCAAUACGGCUGUUCCGAUUUGAGAUAUGGCAAUCCUAAGACAUGCUAGAUGUAAAGGAAGCUAAAAUAUUGUAUUAGUCAUUGUAAGGGUCUAGAGCAAAGACUCAGUGGUUAAGAGCACUUGUUGCCCUUUCAGAGGACUGGGUUUGGUUCCUAGUAUUUACAUGGCCGCUUAGAACACCUCAACUCCAGUUGCAGGGGACCCAUUGCCCUCUUCUGGCCUCUCUGCAGGAACCAGGACAUGUGGUGCACAUAAGUAUGCAUACAGCCAUGUAAAUAAAGAAAUCUU